rnacentral:rRNA from 1 species
AGUCACUGACAUUAGAUACCCGCGUAGUCCAGGGUGUAAACGCUGCAGACUUGGUGUUGGGAACCCUUCGGGGGUGCUCAGUGCCGGAGAGAAGUUGUUAAGUCUGCUACUUGGGGAGUACGUCCGCAAGGAUGAAACUUAAAGGAGUUGGCGGGGGAGCACCGCAACGGGAGGAGCGUGCGGUUUAAUUGGAUUCAACGCCGAAAAACUCACCAGCAGCGACUGUUACAUGAAAGUCAGGUUGAUGACCUUACUAGAUUUUCAG